rnacentral:snoRNA from 10 species
UUCCCUGUGACACAUCAGCAGGACGACUGGGCUUUCAUCCUCCUGGGUGGGAUGUGCCUCCAUCAAACCUUGCUACUGGGCACAUUAUCUGUCCAACA